rnacentral:tRNA from 1 species
AUAAGCGGGAAGCAAGAGCAAUGGAUUGAAGCUCCAUGUGUCGGCGGUUCGAUUCCGUCUCGCGCCA